GAUGAACGCUAGCGGCAGGCUUAAUACAUGCAAGUCGAGGGGUAGCAAGAUUGUAGCAAUACAAUUGUUGACGACCGGCAAAUGGGUGCGGAACACGUACACAACCUUCCUACAAGUGGGGAAUAGCCCAGAGAAAUUUGGAUUAAUACCCCGUAACAUAGCGAUGUGGCAUCACAUUGCUAUUAUAGCUUCGGCGCUUGUUGAUGGGUGUGCGGCUGAUUAGAUAGUUGGCGGGGUAACAGCCCACCAAGUCUACGAUCAGUAGCUGAUGUGGGAGCAUGAUCAGCCAAACGGGCACUGAGACACUGGCCCGACUCCUACGGGAGGCAGCAGUAAGGAAUAUUGGACAAUGGACGCAAGUCUGAUCCAGCCAUGCCGCGUGAAGGAUUAAGGUCCUCUGGAUUGUAAACUUCUUUUAUAAGGGACGAAAAAAGGUCUUUCUAGAUCGUCUGACGGUACCUUAUGAAUAAGCACCGGCUAACUCCGUGCCAGCCGCCGCUGUAAUAC
rnacentral:rRNA from 1 species